rnacentral:rRNA from 1 species
CUUUUGGACGACGGUAGGAGAGCGUAGUACGACGGGUUGAAGCGGGACGCGGAAGCGCCCGUGGACUUCGUACUAGCGAUUAUGCGGACAUGAGUAACGAAAAACCGGGUGAGAAUCCCGGUCGCCGGAAUCCCAAGGUUUCCCGGGCAAGGUUCGUCCGCCCGGGGUCAGUCGGCACCUAAGGCCAGGCCGAAAGGCGUAGCCGAUGGACGGCAGGCAAACAUUCCUGCACUGGUGUGGAGGGUUCAAGCGCAGCAUCGGAGAAGGGCAGUGGCGAGGGUCAAUGGUUACCCCUUGUACGCACCGGAAGGUGCGGACCGAGCGGACGGCUUGCCGGACGCGAGGCCAUGUGCCCAUGCUUCCCAGAAAAGUGCUGCGACACCGAAACGCCAGCCGUACCAAAACCGACACAGGUGGGAGGGUACAAACAUACCAAGGCGCGCGAGAGAAACCUCGUUAAGGAACUCGGCAACAUAGCCCCGUAACUUCGGGAGAAGGGGUCCUCCAGGGCAAUGCCUGGAGGCGCAGUAAACGGGCCCAUGCGACUGUUUAACAAAAACAUAGCACUCUGCCAACACGCAAGUGGAUGCAUAGAGUGUGACACGUGACCAAUGCGGAAAGGUCAAGGCGAGGGGUCAGAGGCAACUCGAAGCUCCGAACCAAAGCCCCCGUGAAUGUCGGCCGUAACUAUAACGGUCCUAAGGUAGCGAAAUUCCUUGUCGGGCAAGUUCCGACCUGCACGAAUCGUGUAACGCUGUGGGCGCUGUCUCAACGAGGAUCUCGGUGAAGUUGUAGUGCCGGUGAAAAUGCCGGAUACCCGCAGAAGGACGGAAAGACCCCAUGAACCUUUACUGUAUCCUGGUACUGGAUUCUGGUCAGGCGUAUGUAGAAUAGCCGGGAGGCUUGGAAAGGCGCUCGUCAGGGCGCCCGGAGCCGCAACGUGAAAUACCGGUUUCGUCUGGGCGGAGUUCUAACCCCGAGCCGUCAUCCGGCCGGGGAACAAUGCCAGGGGGUCAGUUUGACUGGGGCGGUUUCCUCCCAAACAGUAACGGAGGAGUUCGAAGGUGCACUCAGCGCGGUCGGCAACCGCGCCAUCGAGCGCAAGGGUAGAAGUGCGCCUGACUGCGAGACGGACACGUCGAGCAGACGCGAAAGCGGGACCUAGUGAUCCGGCGGUUGCUUGUGGAAGCGCCGUCGCUCAACGGAUAAAAGGUACUCUGGGGAUAACAGGCUGAUCGCGGCCGAGAGUUCACAUCGACGCCGCGGUUUGGCACCUCGAUGUCGGCUCUUCGCAUCCUGGGGCUGGAGAAGGUCCCAAGGGUUUGGCUGUUCGCCAAUUAAAGCGGAACGCGAGCUGGGUUCAAAACGUCGUGAGACAGUUUGGUCCUUAUCCUCUGUGCCCGCAGGAGAACUGAGGGGAGCACUCCCUAGUACGAGAGGACCGGGAGUGACUUACCAAUGGUGUUCGGGUUGUCGCGCCAGCGGCAGGCCCGGUAGCUAUGUAGGGAACGGAUAAGCGCUGAAAGCAUCUAAGCGCCAAGCCUCCCCCGAGACAAGUUCUCCCAGCAGCAAUGCUCUCAAGCCGGGUCGUAGACCACGACCUCGAUAGGCCGCAGGUGCAAGCGCAGCGAUGCGUUCAGCCGAGCGGUACUAAUAUGGCGUGCGGCUUAGCU